rnacentral:rRNA from 1 species
AUUGAACGCUGGCGGCAUGCCUAACACAUGCAAGUCGAACGGCAGCACGGACUAGGUUACAAGACGGGUGGCGAGUGGCGAACGGGUGAGUAACGCGUAGGAAUAUACCUUAAAGACCGGGACAACCUGGGGAAACUCAGGCCAAUACCGGACAAGCUCCGAGGAGGAAAGCUGGGGACCGAAUGGCCUGGCGCUUGAAGAAUAGCCUGCAUCCGAUUAGGUAGUUGGUAGGGUAAAUGCCUACCAAGGCGACGAUCGGUAGCUAGUCUGAGAGGAUGGACAGCCACACUGGGACUGAGACACGGCCCAAACUCCUACAUGAGGCAGCAGUGGGGAAUAUUGGACAAUGGGGGCAACCCUGAUCCAGCAAUGCCGCUUUUGUGAAGUAGGCCUGAGGGUUGUAAAGCACUUUCGGUGGAGGGGAGGUUGCUUAGGUUUAGUGCUAGAGUGAUGGACGUUACCCGCAUAAGGAGCACCGGCUAACUCCGUGCCAGCAGCCGCGGUAA